rnacentral:rRNA from 1 species
AAUAUUGGACAAUGGGCGCAAGCCUGAUCCAGCAAUGCCGCGUGGGUGAAGAAGGUUUUCGGAUUGUAAAGCCCUUUUGGCGGGGACGAUGAUGACGGUACCCGCAGAAUAAGCUCCGGCUAACUUCGUGCCAGCAGCCGCGGUAAUACGAAGGGGGCUAGCGUUGCUCGGAAUGACUGGGCGUAAAGGGCGCGUAGGCGGACUGCACAGUCAGGCGUGAAAUUCCUGGGCUUAACCUGGGGACUGCGUCUGAGACGUGUGAUCUAGAGUGAGGAAGAGGGUCGUGGAAUUUCCAGUGUAGAGGUGAAAUUCGUAGAUAUUGGAAAGAACACCGGUGGCGAAGGCGGCGACCUGGUCCUUGACUGACGCUGAGGCGCGAAAGCGUGGGGAGCAA